UUUUUUUUUUUUUUUUUUAAGAAACAUAUACACAUUUGAAUGUGCUUUUCUGAGUUAUGUACCUAGCAGCCCAUAAAACUUGUAGUUUACAGAGGCCAAAAUUAAGGGAAUGCUCUGCAGCAAGUUCAGACCAUUGCAAGCUCCCUUUUGUUUGGAUGUCAUGACUUUAAGUGUCUAUGACAGUGGUUGGAAAAUCACAACCUGCUGGCCAAAUUUAGCUCCUCACCUAUUUUUGUACAUAAAAUUUUACUGGAAAACACUCAUCUGAUUUAAUAUUUUCUAGAUCUGCUUUUCCAUUACAUAGGUAGAGUAAUUGUGACAGAAAUUAUACGGUCUUCGAAGUCUAACAUAUUAACUACCUUAUCCAUUAUAGAAAAUGUUUAUUUAUCCCUGGCCUAUGGCAUUAAGGAAUUUGGGGAAAAAAGCAUAUAAAUGUCUGUAAAUAACUACCCUUAUUUCUAGUGGGCCUUGAUAGAGCACUGGUGUCCUGACCUUGCAACAAACACUAAAUGGCAUUGUAACUGGAGCUACUCAUCAUAAAUUAGACUUUUUCUAAUUCACAUAGCCAUGACGUUAGGUAUAUAGAAGCACUGUAUUUUCAAGUGAUAGUGGAAGAUGCAAGUGUCAUAAGCAAACAGGUCAAAUUCUCAGACUCUAUUUAUAUUGCUUGUAUUUCUCCUUCAUUAACACCUGUAUGUUAUAAGUAUAACUUAGAAGGUUUUUUUUAUGUCCAGUUGCUGGCGAAAUAAAUGAUAGAUAUUUUUGUUCUAUGCAAUCCCAUAAGAGAUUUUUUUUUUUAGCAUUAGAACAGGCUUUGAGGUGGCCUUGGCUGUGGAAGAUAGGGGAAAACAGAAUGCCUGUCCCCCCUCCACCCACAACCCUUCUUUUGCUGUUCCCCGCAAUAAGAACAAAUACUUUCAGUGAAGGAUCAGAGAGUUAAGAUAGUUAAUGCUUUUAACCCUGCAUUCGGAUGUCCCGUAUGUCUGAAUUGGAGAAGGGUCAAAUUGACCCUAAUUCAUGGGAACUAAAUUCUUAUGGUUCUGAAACCAAUUUCAAUGUGUGGGAGGGUGGUUUCUCCAUGCCCACAAUUGGCUAUAUACCAGGUGGGUAUCCUGUCAUUCAACUCAACUCAGUUGUGACAAUAUCUGUCCAGAGGUAGCAUCAGAUCCCACAGGUUAAGAGCUCAGUCCACAAGACUCCCUUACCUCCAACCCCUGCCACACACAGACCUCAGACACUAGUCACAAGUCCAGGUUGUUACCUAUGCUUCUGAUCUACUGGCUACAGAUCAGACUGUAGACUUCUUUCAAAUGACUGAGUUGCUGAGCUGCUCACAGAACUCAGGGGAAUAUUUUACUUACUAAAUUACCAGCUUAUUAAAAAAAGCUAUAACUCAGGAAUAACCAGAUGGAAAACAUACACAGGGAAAAGGCACAGAGCUUCUAUGCCUUCUCCAAGUGUUUAACAACCAAGAACUCUCCAAAUCUUCCUUUUGGGUUUAUAUGGAGCUUCAUUAUAUAGGCAUGAUUGAUUGAAUCAUUGGUCCUUAGCAUCUGAGCCAAGCUCCAGACUCUCUCCCCUCCCUGGAGGCCAGGACUGUGGAGGUGAAAACUUCAGCUCUCUAAUCACAUAGUUGUUCCCCUGGCACUGGUCCCCAUCCUUAGGUGCAAUCCUAAAGCCACCUAAUUAGCAUAUAAAUGAUACCAUUGUGGCUUUUAUCAGUUAGGAAAUUCCAAGGAUUUUAAGAGUUCUGUGCUAGAAACAAGUAAGAAGACCAAAUGUAUUUAUUUCCUAGUAUAAACCACAAAAUCACAGUCUAGCCCCUGGUUUUUGAGCAAGGAUCCCUAAAAAAAAAAAAAGCAAAGCAGUUAUUAAAGUCAAAAGAUACUGGUACAUUGCUAGAAUUGCAUUCAGUCAUUAAUAAAUAUUCAUCCACUAUCAUAUCAUGUAAAAAUAUAUGUGAGGCCAUUCAGGUUUACAGGCUUUCAUGUGAUCUUUUUAUGUUCCGAAAGCAAGAGUCAUAUCGACAAUGGCUUCAUCCUUGUAAGCAUCUAACAUAAUUGAACUGAGAGACAACAUCAUCUUUUUCUCUGAACCUCUUUUGAGGUAUUAACUUAAUAUUGGAUUUUCAUCAUUACAUUACCCAUUUAAUCAUUCCUUUACUCAUAGCUACUCUUUUUUCUUUCCCUUAUUUGUACCCAAACUUUCCCACCUUUGGAAGGGACAUUAGUUUUGGCCAUUGUGCUGGUUGAGAUAUCAGGCAGCAGUGCCUCCCCCUCAGUUCCCUCCUGUUUAUGUAGGGUGAGGCUACAUAGGAGCAGAACCAGUGGGGUCUCUUUAAUACCAGUUUAUAUAUCUACAUUCCUGUUACUCCAAAUUUUGCCAGAUGUGGUGAAAGCAUAUUUAGCUCCAUCAGGCCCUUAGGAAUUCUGUCUGAUAUAAAGAUUAAAAACAUAGUUAAAAUUUCUUUCUUAGGAAUCACUCCUGAAUCCAGCCCUUGUAGCUGCAACCCUGAUCCUGUCACCACUGCAUCAAGUAGGAAAAAGAGGUUGUGGUGAUAUGUGGAAAAAAAGAAUACCCACACUUUCCCCACUUUCUCUUCCCCAGAUCUACUAGAAGAACAGAGAAAUCUAUUCAGUGGGGACACUUCUUCAGUCCCAUUCAUGUUCACAUGGCCUAUGGGCAUGUGCUAGUGAAGGCUUAUAAGCUAGUCCUUCUGAUUUAGAAAAAAAAAAUCAGUGUUUUAAUUGCCUGUCCCAAUUCUCUUUCAAGCUAUUUGAUCUAAAGAAAUGACAGUCAGUGUCCAAAAUGGUACAUUUAUUUUCCAUGCUCAUUUUUUAAAAAUAAUAAUACUCUGAACAUUUGCAUCUACUACCAGGUAAGUCAAGCCCAGUCCAGAGUCAGUGUCUAUUCCCUUCAAGACCUAUCUUCAGAGCCACCCCUAAAGCUACUGGCAUCAGUUUGACCUGCCAGCUGUGAUUGAGGCUUUACCCCCAGGGAAUCUGCCACAUGGCCAUCUGUAGCCUCUAUCUCUUUUGUUUGCAUACAGAACAGUUCUUACAGGCAUUUCGUGCCUCUGAGGGUAGAAAAGGAAUAUAUCUAGAUUAGCCCAUCUGUGCAUUAUUUCAGUGCCCUCACAUCCACUGAUUUCAUGGACCCAAGUGGCUAUCUCAAGGAGUCAUGGAGGGAUAGCUGCUUGUUUAUUUCAAUUACUUUCUAAACAUGGUAGGGAGUUCUUCUAAUGUGCAUCAUCAGGUACUACUUCAAUGUUUUCCUCAAAUAUUCAUAGGGCCAAAUUCCCCACAUGGGUGUUUUUUUAACGUGCCAAAUUUCUUUUGCCCUCCUGCCUGACCAUAUGGCCAGACCACUGGCUACUGCUUACGAGAAGGCAAAAAACCAAACAUAGGAGCUUUUUCCAUUGUUCACUUAUUCCAUAACUGCUAAGAAAACAUCAUGUAAUUUCAGUCCACUGAGCUGAUAUGUUUUUACCUUCUUUUAUCAGAGGGUCGACUUCCAAACAGGAUGCUGUCCAUUUACCUUGGAACUGCCAUCCACAAACCAAGCAGCUUUUUGUUGAUCAGUCAAGAGCAGAUUAUAGGGCAUUGUCCAAGUGACAGCAGAAUCCAGAAGUUCUCAUGCAUUUCAAAGAGGAAAGAAUCCCCCUACUUUGAAUAUUUCCUCUUUGCAUUCCCCAGGCAUAAACCAUUUCCAUUUCAUCAUGGGACUCUUCUGGGCACUGCCAUCCCUCAAGAUGUUGUAUUUUAGGUUUCAAGAUCAUGUUAUGUCCAUCAGUCUUUGGAGUAGCUUUAAUGAGUAAUGUCAUAUCGCAGGGUAGUAAAUGCCUAUCCCAGAGAAAUUGUCUAGUCCAAAGCCCCAGAAAUCAUUGCUGGGAUGACAUCACAGGAUUUUGUCAUAAUCUCCAGUUUAUGCUCCACACAGGGCUGUUGCACAGAGAAUUUGUCUCUACCAGCACACAGUACUAAUGUGGGCUCAGGCAUUUCACUGAUUCCCAUUCAGCCUGCCCAACUAAUAGCAGUUGAAGGACUGAUUUAUAUGCCUUCUGUUUUACAAAACUAGUUUGGGGAAAUGUUCUCCAGUCAGAUAGAGUCACAUACAGUUUUCAUCCCCAAAAAACAUUCAGGUAAAGUGGACACAACUUCUGAAACAUUCCAACUUUCACAAUCCUAUCAACUCUUACAUUUUUACAUUCUCUCCAUCUAUUUGUAGCCCGAAUUGGGGCUUUGUCAAUAGAUGUUGAUAUCACAACCCAUGGGGCUCCCAUCUCUUCUCUAACCCAUUGACCAUUUUAUCUACUCCUGUUCAAGAGCUUACCCUAUCUUUGUCCAUUAGGAACUUCACUAAACAUAUUUUAAGGGCUCACUGCAAACAAUCCAGAUCUGAUUUCUGACCUACUAAGCAUUUCACCUUACUGUUGCAGUAGCACAGCUCCAAAAUAUAAAGAAUGGGCACUUGGGUGCCCACAGACGAGACACAUUCCAAAUCUCAUGGUUGCUCAUAUACUGGUCCAACUUGCUUCUCUUGCUCAUUCAGAUGGUAUUCACACAUUUGAAAACCCCAAGCAUUGUGUGCUGCUUAAAUUGCUUAUUAACUUAUGUUUAAUGUGAAAAAAAAUGUACACACACCCAGAUCUAAAGCAGCUACAUCUUCUACACAUAUUUUAUCUAUUAACAUCACCAGUGAUUCUAACCUGGUAGAUCAAAAUCUUAUGCAAUAUAAAGGCAAAUAUUUGGCCUAAGCAAUAGACCAAGCAUGGCUAGAAGAAAUCACAAAAUUGCCUAUAUAUACACAUACUAAUAAGGAUAUAUUAGAAAAACUAUUUAAACCAUUCUGCAGAGAAAUGUAUCACCACCAUAUGCCAUGCUUUGGAAGGAUUAAGCUUGCAACACAUAGAAAUUUUCAUCUGCCACAUUGGUGGAAUAUGACCAGAUAUUAUAGAAAUGUAGCAAUGCCUUACACUUACAGGAUUCUCUCUAAACAUGUUAUCAGCUGGCAGGAAAAAAAAAAUAACAAUGCUAAAGACAAGUGUAGAACCACAACUAGAUACUCUCAGGUUGUGUGACUGGUAGAGCUAUCAUGCAAA
rnacentral:lncRNA from 1 species